GACGAACGCUGGCGGCGUGCUUAACACAUGCAAGUCGAACGGAAAGGCCCUGCUUUUGUGGGGUGCUCGAGUGGCGAACGGGUGAGUAACACGUGAGUAACCUGCCCUUGACUUUGGGAUAACUUCAGGAAACUGGGGCUAAUACCGGAUAGGAGCUCCUGCUGCAUGGUGGGGGUUGGAAAGUUUCGGCGGUUGGGGAUGGACUCGCGGCGUAUCAGCUUGUUGGUGGGGUAGUGGCUUACCAAGGCUUUGACGGGUAGCCGGCCUGAGAGGGUGAACGGCCACAUUGGGACUGAGAUAGGGCCCAGACGCCUACGGGAGGCAGCAGUGGGGAAUAUUGCACAAUGAGCGGAAGCCUGAUGCAGCAACGCCGCGUGCGGGAUGACGGCCUUCGGGUUGUAAACCGCUUUCGCCUGUGACGAAGCGUGAGUGACGGUAAUGGGUAAAGAAGCAACGGCUAACUACGUG
rnacentral:rRNA from 1 species